rnacentral:tRNA from 1 species
AAGAUACUAGUCAAAUGAUAUUACUCUGCCUUGUCAAGGCAAAAUUGCAGGUUAAAGCCCUGCGUAUCUUA